UAGGGAAUAUUCCGCAAUGGGCGAAAGCCUGACGGAGCAACGCCGCGUGAGUGAUGAAGAUCUUCGGAUUGUAAAGCUCUGUCAACAGGGACGAUAAUGACGGUACCUAUGGAGGAAGCCACGGCAAACUACGUCCCAGCAACGGCGGUAAUACGUAGGUGGCAAGCGUUGUACGGAAUAACUGGGCGUAAAGCGCAUGUAGACGGUAUUGCAGGUCUAGUGUGAAAGUUAGGGGCUUAACCUCUAAAGUGCGCUUGGAACUGGUGGGCUUGAGUGCAGGAGAGGAGAGUGGAAUUCCCAGUGUAGCAGUGAAAUGCGUAGAUAUUGGGAGGAACACCAGUGGCGAAGGCGACUUGCUGGACUGCAACUGACGUUGAGACGCGAAAGCGAGGGGAGCAAACG
rnacentral:rRNA from 1 species